rnacentral:lncRNA from 1 species
UAGCUCGCCUUUCUCGUCGUACAUGGCCGCAAGCCCGAGCUUGGCCGUCCGGGCUCCGCAUUACUUCGGGGAUGUCGUUGUCUUCCUAACCGGUGUCAAAAGUCUUUUUAGAGGCCGGGGGUGUUCGGUAGGAACUCCCCGUUUCGGUUGGGACGAAGAAGUCCUUUAGGUCUUUUUGUGCGGUUCAUCCUUCAUCUAUUCCCGUCGUAGUUCGUCAUCCUUCCUUUUUAAUUUUCCUCCUCUUCUCAGAGUGAGGGCCCUCCCCCCGCUUUUCGCGGGGUUGCAUAGAAGCGAGGAGGUGCCGCUGAGGGGCUUUUUCCUUUCAUCCGAUCUUGCUGGGCGGUCGGGUUUCGCCACCAUCAGCCCUUGCUGCAGAAGUCGCGGGUGGAGCCCGGCUCCCAUAGGAGUCUGGGUGGAGUCUUCCUUGGCAUUGUGGACGGAGCCCGGCUCCCGUAGGAGUCCGGGUGGAGUCUUCCUUGGCGUCGUGGAUGGAGCCCGGCUCCCGUAGGAGUUCGGGUGGAGUCUUCCUUGGCAUCGUGGACGGAGCCCGGCUCCCGUAGGAGUCCGGG